rnacentral:rRNA from 1 species
CCUACGGGUGGCAGCAGUGGGGAAUAUUGGACAAUGGGGGAAACCCUGAUCCAGCGACGCCGCGUGAGUGAAGAAGUCUUUCGGUAUGUAAAGCUCUAUCAGCAGGGAAGAAAAUGAUGGUAUCUGCGUAGGAAGCCCCGCCUAACUACGUGCUAGCAGCCGCGGGAUUACGUAGGGGGCAAGCGUUAUCCGGAUUUAUUGGGGGUAAAGGGAGCGUAGACGGCAGUGCAAGUCUGGAGUGAAAGGCGGUGGCUCACCCCCCGGACUGCUCUGGAAACUGUGUAGCUGGAGUGCAGGAGAGGCAGGCGGAAUUCCUAGUGUAGCGGUGAAAUGCGUAGAUAUUAGGAGGAACACCAGUGGCGAAGGCGGCUUACUGGACUGCAACUGACGUUGAGGCUCGAAAGCGUGGGGAGCAAACAGGAUUAGAUACCCGAGUAGUC